rnacentral:tRNA from 1 species
UUAAUUGAAACCAAAAUAGAGGUAAAUUAUUGUUAAUAAUUUAAAUGAAUAUAUUAAAAUACUCCAAUUAAA